rnacentral:tRNA from 1 species
GCCUUCGUGGUGUAGUGGUCAGCACGCUCGACGCGUAACCGAGAGGUCCGUGGUUCGAUUCUUGGCGAAGGCG